UACGUAGGGUGCAAGCGUUGUCCGGAAUUAUUGGGCGUAAAGAGCUCGUAGGCGGUUCGUCGCGUCGGCUGUGAAAACCUGGGGCUCAACCCCAGGCCUGCACCCGAUACUGGCGGGCUCGAGGCAGGUAGGGGAGAGUGGAAUUCCCGGUGUAGCGGUGAAAUGCGCAGAUAUCGGGAGGAACACCGGUGGCGAAGGCGGCUCUCUGGGCCUGUCCUGACGCUCAUGCGCGAAAGCUAGGGGAGCAAACAGG
rnacentral:rRNA from 1 species